rnacentral:rRNA from 1 species
GAUGAACGCUGGCGGCGUGCCUAAUACAUGCAAGUCGAGCGAACGGACGAGAAGCUUGCUUCUCUGAUGUUAGCGGCGGACGGGUGAGUAACACGUGGAUAACCUACCUAUAAGACUGGGAUAACUUCGGGAAACCGGAGCUAAUACCGGAUAAUAUUUUGAACCGCAUGGUUCAAAAGUGAAAGACGGUCUUGCUGUCACUUAUAGAUGGAUCCGCGCUGCAUUAGCUAGUUGGUAAGGUAACGGCUUACCAAGGCAACGAUGCAUAGCCGACCUGAGAGGGUGAUAGGGCACACUGGAACUGAGACACGGUCCAGACUCAUAAGGGAGGCAGCAGUAGGGAAUCUUCCGCAAUGGGCGAAAGCCUGACGGAGCAACGCCGCGUGAGUGAUGAAGGUCUUCGGAUCGUAAAACUCUGUUAUUAGGGAAGAACAUAUGUGUAAGUAACUGUGCACAUCUUGACGGUACCUAAUCAGAAAGCCACGGCUAACUACGUG